rnacentral:rRNA from 1 species
GACGAACGCUGGCGGCGUGCUUAACACAUGCAAGUCGAACGCUGAAACACCAGCUUGCUGGUGUGGAUGAGUGGCGAACGGGUGAGUAAUACGUGAGUAACCUGCCCUUGACUCUGGGAUAAGCCCGGGAAACUGGGUCUAAUACUGGAUGCUACAUGUCACCGCAUGGUGGUGUGUGGAAAGGGUUUACUGGUCUUGGAUGGGCUCACGGCCUAUCAGCUUGUUGGUGAGGUAAUGGCUCACCAAGGCGACGACGGGUAGCCGGCCUGAGAGGGUGACCGGCCACACUGGGACUGGGACACGGCCCAGACUCCUACGGGAGGCAGCAGUGGGGAAUAUUGCACAAUGGGCGAAAGCCUGAUGCAGCGACGCCGCGUGAGGGAUGACGGCCUUCGGGUUGUAAACCUCUUUCAGCAGGGAAGAAGCCACAAGUGACGGUACCUGCAGAAGAAGCGCCGGCUAACUACGUGCCAGCCGCCGCGGUAA